rnacentral:lncRNA from 1 species
GGGACACGGACAGCCGCCGCCUGCGGCUCCGAAGCUCGAGGUCUCCCGGGGUGCGGGGACGUGGGGCCGAAGACCCCGCUCCGCAGCCGCGGCGAGGCCUCGUCCUUCACUGUGCAGAUGCGAAGCUUUCAAGGACACGUCUGCACCGGCCCGGCGGGAGGGAAGAGGGAAGGAGCUGCCAUCUAUGGAACCCAAUCUCACUUCAUCUGCACCGAGCAUGGUCUCAGGGAGCAUAGCGAGACAUCUCACCAUCCACCCAGCUUUCCGUGGGGUGCAUUAGUUUCAAGAUGAAAGAUUAGAAACCUGUGGUCAUGUACUUUCGGAUACAAACGUUUUAGUGAGUAUAAAGCAGUGGUGGUUUUUUUUUUUCAUUCAUAUUCUUUUAUUAGGUAAUGUACCCCCUAAUUUAUAAGUUGAGUUCCAUAUAACUCAAUAAAGGGGGUGUCAUUUUUAAAGUUAAACAUUUUCUGGAGAUAAUUUUAGAUUUUCAUGCAGUUGUGAGAAACACUAAAGAGAGAUCCCAUGUACCCUUACUCAGUUUCCCCUGAUGAUACCAUCUCACAGUGAAGUGGGCUGUCACAACCAAGAUACUGACAGUGACGUGAACGUUUCCAUUACCACUGGAUUCCUCAUGCCACCCUCCAGCUGGCCACCCCUUAACCCUGAACAAUGACUAAUCUAUUCUCUUUUUCUAUAAUUUUAUCAUUUCAAUAGUGUUAUAGAAAUGAACUCAUUCGGCCAGGCACAGUGGCUCAUGCCUGUAAUCCCAGCACUCUGGGAGGCUGAGGUGGGUGGAUCAUGAGGUCAGGAGAUCAAGACCAUCCUGGCUAACACGGUGAAACCCCGUCUCUACUAAAAAUACAAAAAAAAAAAUUAGCCAGGUGUGGUGGCGGGUGCCUGUAGUCCCAGCUACUUGGGAGGCUGAGGCAGGAGAAUGGCGUGAACCCGGUAGGCAGAGCUUGCAGUGAGCCGAGAUCAAGCCACUGCACUCCAGCCUGGGCAACAGAGUGAGACUCUGUCUCAAAAAAAAAAAAAAAAAAAUAAAGAACUCAUUCAAGGCCGGGCACAGUGCCUCAUGCCUGGAAUCCCUGUACUUUAGGAGACUGAGGUGGGUGGAUCAUUUGAGGUGAGGAGUUUGAGACCAGCCUGGCCAACAUGGUGAAGCCCCAUCUCUACUAAAAACUAAAAACAUUAGCUAGGUGUGGCGUCAGGCGCCUGUAAACCCAGCUACUCAGGAGGCUGAGGCAGGAGAAUCGCUUGAACCUGGGAGGCAGAGGUUGCAGUGAGCCAAGAUCGUGCCAUUGCACUCUAGCCUAGGAAACAGAGCGAGACUCCAUCUCAAAAAAAAAAAAAAAAAAAAAAAAAAGAAAGAAAGAAACGAACUCAUUCAGCAUAUAGCCUUUUGGAACUGGCUCUUUUCACCAAGCAUAACCCUCUGGAGAUUCAUCUAGAUUGUUGCAUGUGUCUCUAGUUCACCCCUCUGUAUUGCUGGGUAACAGUUCAUGGUAUGGUUAUGCCAGCAUGUAAACACUCACCUGUUGAAGGACAUCCGCAGGAUUUCUAGUUUCCAACUACAGCUUAGAAAACUGAGGCCAGAGAGUGAAGCAACUGCACAGGCAUAAUACGGCACAGCUGGCAUUUCAGCUCCAGUCCAUUUGCCAGAGUCACACGGGAUGACAGGUGAGAAACAGACCAGGCAGCUUCAAUGGGAUAGAUGGAGACUUGACGUCAUUGAUAAUCUGAUGCCUUGAAAGUCGUGUGUAAGAAGCUGACUCUGAAUUGGAGGGAGGCCAGGAGAUUUGCACCCAGCUCUGGCAAUGGGUUUGGGGAAGCUAUAAACCACCUUUCAAAGGGAACACCUGGUCGGGUGCAGUGGCUCAUGCCUGUAAUCCCAGUACUUUGGGAGGCCAAGGUGGGUGGAUCACCUGAAGUCAGGAGUUCGACACCAGCCUGGCCAACAUGGUGAAACCCCGUCUCUACUAAAAAUACAAAAAAAAAAAAAAAAAAAUUAGCCGGGCAUGGUGGCGGGUGCCUGUAGUCCCAGCUACUCGGGAGGCUGAGACAGGAGAAUCACUUGAACCUGGGAGGCGGAGGUUGCAGUGAGCCAAGAUUGCGCCACUGCACUCCAGCCUGGGUGACAGAGCAAGACUUUAUCUCCAAACAAACAAAAAACCACAAAGGGAACAUCUAUUGCUGACUGAAAACAGAUGAGGAGGGACGUAGCAACUGAUUUGCAUUGUUCUAGGAGCAUCCAGAUCAAACGUAUAUUCAGGGGCCAGAGGAGAAGUGUAACUGAAUUUAGAGGAGCGGAUGGAGUGGAGAAUAACUCGAGGAACAGCGCCAUCGGUGUGACACUACUCACACUGCAGCCAUGAAGGGAUGGGCUCUCCGGGGAGUGUGGAGACCAGAGGUUCGGGGGUAGGCUACAACCUGGGGCUGGAAGAGAUGACAACAAAGGAGAGAGAAGGGGGCUCAGGGAGGCAGGGCGAGCCAGAUGAAUGAAUGAAGGCCAAAGACAAAGGGACUCAGUAUUUCCGAGGCAAGAGGUCAGGGAGGAAGGAGUGCAUUUGUUAUCUACAGCGCAUAACAAGUUAGCCCAUAUCUUAGCGGCUGAAACAACACGUAUUGUCUCUCUGUUUCCAUGGGUCAGGAAUCUGUGAGUGGCUUGCUGGGGUCCUCAGGCUCAGGCUCUCUCACAGACUGCAAUCAAGGUGUCCGGCUGCUGUCAUCUCAAGGUUUGAUGGGGAAGGAUCCACUUCCAGCCUCACUCACAUGGUUGUUGUUGACAGAAUCUAGUUCCUCACAGGUUGGUGGACUGAGGGCUUCAAUUCAAUGCUGGCUAUUGGCCAGAGGCUGCCCUCAGCUCCUUGCCACGUGGGCCUCUCCACAGGACGCUCCCAAGAUGGCAGCUGGCCUCACCAGAGAGGAAGGAGGAGAGAGCGAGAGAGUGUGUGGCAAGCGAAGAGACGAACUUUCAUAACCAAAUCUUGGAGGCAUUUGCGCUGUUCUCUCCGUUAAUAGCCAGUCACUAGAACCAGCCCACACUGAAGUGGAGGGGAUUACAAGGAUCCAGAUACCAGGAAGCCAUUUUAGAAGCUGCCCACCACAGGAGCAAAGGCAAGGGGGCUGGACCCGACCUAAGACUACCCCAGGCAGCCCAGAGCAGACUGUCCGAGAGUGUGAGGACAGAAUCCCAGCCCGAAUCCCAGCUGUCCCAGCACCACAGGGAGACAUGGACACACUCAGGGCCUCCUGCCGGUUCCCAGAAGAGCCUGGCUCAGUCAUUUGCCUGGGUUCACUCCCACCACCCCCAGCAGUGCCGGGAAUAAAACAAUAAUACACAGCAGCAAAAUGCCCCUCCAGCAGCCCAUGUACACAGCCUGGCUCACCUUCCCCAUCUUACCAGCCGGCACUGCCAUCGGGACACGGAAACCUCUUCAGGACGUGGGAGGAGGGGAAGCAAUUCCAUAGACAUUUCUGGGCCCUUCUCAGCUGCCCCCACCAGCAGCCAGCAGCCCCCUGGAUCCAUCUGGGGAAGGAGACUCCCCUUUCCCUGAGGGCCUCCCCCUCUGAGCCUGGCCAGCACCCUGGGCCUGUUCUCCUGUCCCCCUGCAGCUGCAGGGCCAUAGGUCCCCUUGUGGGAGGGACAGAAGGACAGAGAGGCACCAGGAAGGUGGGCACCAGGGCCUUCCCACCAGGAGCCGACACUCCCCAGGGAACAUUUCCGGGGCAUGCUCAGGAGGCAGGAAGUGGGAUGCAGGGGAAAUCCUCAAAGGCUGAGGCUGCGGCUGGACAGAGACUUGAGGGAGGAACAGAGGAGGAUGGCAGGUACAAAUCUCAACCCACGGCAGGUAAAAGACAUGCACCUUUUUAGAAGUCCCCUGAUGUCAGUUUUUAGAAGUCCCCUGAUAUUUGUCUCUGCCCAAAUCUCAUGUCGAACUGUAAUCCUUUGCAUGGGAGGUGCUUGGAUCACUGGGCUGGAUUUCUUGUGAAUGGUUUAACGCCAUCCCCUUGGUGCCGUCCAUGUGUUAGUAAGUUCUUAUGAGAUUUGGUCAUUUAAAAGUGACACAUAGCAUCUCUCACAAAGUGUGGGAGCACACUCUCACUCUCUUGUUCCUGCUUUUGCUACCUGCCUGCUCUUCCUUUGCCUUCCAUCAUGAUUGGAAACUUCCUGAGGCCUCCCUGGAAGCCAAGCAGAUGCCAUCAUCAUGCUUCCUAUAAAGCCUGCAGAACUAUGAGCCCAUCAAAACUCUUUUCUUUAGAAAUCACCCAGUCUCAAGUUUUUUUGUGUGUUUUUUUGUUUGUUUGUUUUUGAGACGGAGUUUCACUCCGUCACCCAGGCUGGAGUGCAAUGGCGCGAUCUCGGCUCACUGCAACCUCUGCCUCCUGGCU